AGAGAGAGAUGGAAAAAAGAAAAAAAAAAGAAAAGAAAAAGAAAAAUAGGGUUUUGUGAGAACAUUUCUGGAAGUGAAAAAACCAGAUUGUAGGGUCUAAAUCUAACCCCAAAAUUUUGUCUUUUUACACAAUUUACCUUUGCAAUUAAGCCCUCAUUUCACUCUUCUUUUAUAGACCCAUCUCUUUAGCCAUUUCAUUCUCACUCUUCUUCUUUCUCCUUUUCUCUCUCUCUCAAAAAAUUGAGCUUUUAGGGUUUUUGGCAAUGAAUAAUUUAGCUUCAAGAGCUUUUUUUUUUGGCGAAGAGUUUGUUUUGUUUUGAGGGGAAUGUUGUCUGGCUCGAGGACACUUUUCUUCGGUCUUUUGAUUUUUGUGUUUAUAUUUAGUGUCGUCGGACCAGGCUUCAUUCCCCCCAAUUAAUUCUAUCGUCUCAAACAAAUAACAACAACAACCACAAGAUUGGUAUAAUGAUGAAGCUUUUUGACUUAAGUUGGCCCUUUCUGUGGUUCAAAAGCUUUCUUCAUCAUGAUUGGUUCUUUUCUCUUCUUAGAUCUUGUAAUGAUUUCUUUUUUUUUCCCCUUCAUCAUUAGCUCAUUCUUGUUUCUCUUAUUUAUUAUUCAUUUUUAUUUUUUUUAUUUAAUUUUUCUAUUGCUGAUCUUCUUUCUUCUCUCCCCUCUUUUGUGCCUAAUUUCAGAUUUCUUCUUCUUCUUCAUCUUUAAUCAAACUUUUGAACAAAUUUCUCUCUCUUCUUGCAUGUCUCUUGGUGUUGAUGAGUUGAUUAGAUCAAUCAAAUAAAAAAGUUGAUGGGACUUAAUUUCAAUUAAAUUACAAUAAUGGAUGAUCAAGUUGAGGGUUUUCCUUUUCUUUUUCUUUUUCUUUUUCUUUUUUCCUUUUCUUGAACAUAUAUGUUUUAAUGGGUAUUAGAAAUUAUACCACAGAUUUCUACAUUUUCAUCCUUGUAAACAUUAGGGUUUUCUUUCAAUCUUUCAAGGAAUGGGUUCACAUUAUGUGUGGAUGAUGAGCAACCCUCUAUCUAAUUGUUACCCCUCCCCCCAAGUUUGAUGUAAAGCUAUUUAUGACGACUCGUCUUGACUGUGACUGUCAAAUAUUAGAGCUUUCGAUUUCAUAGUAGUUAAAUAUUAAUGAUUCUUGUUGUGAGAUUGGCUUAUAAAACUUACUCUAAAAAUGCAUAUAUUCUCUCCUUGAUCUCUUCUCGAAGUUCUAUAUAUCUAUAGCCAAUUACUCUAACCUUCUUUAAUUUUGUUCUUCCUUUCUGUAACCAAAAAAUUUAAGUGGAUGGAUCAAGGGAAAUGCUAACCCUUUUUUCUUUUUUAAUAAAUUAUUGAUACCCUAGAUUCUCACAUCCAUGCUUAUAUAAUAGCUUGUGAUUUAACAUGUUGACUAUUGACAUUUUAAAUGAAAAGAAAAAUAAUUAUUAUUGGA